AUGGAGGAGGUGGAUUUCCGAGGGGUGGGUAUAAAGAAUUUGAGAGUUUUUAACACAGCUCUAUUAGGCAAGUGGGUCUGGAAAAUUAGGAAGGAGAGAGAUGGAUUAUGGUUUAAAAUUCUGAACGAAAGAUACGGUGGAAAUGAUGGAAUCUCUAGAACAAGCGAUGCUAAGAGUUCAUUGUGGUGGAGAGAUAUUUGCCAAUUAGAUAUAGGAGAACAUGAAAACAGAGAUGAGUAUUCAGUGAAGGAGAUGUAUAAAAGGGCACGAGAGGAUAUUAGAACAAAUAGUAGUAAACCAUGGACACUAGUAUGGCAUAAAUUGGUCCCUUCAAAAUUUUCAGGCUUAGUGUGGAGGUUUUUCCGUAACAGACUUCCAACCAAAGAUAAUCUAAUUAGAAGAGGUGUCUUAGCCCAGGCGGAAUCUUAG